GACGAACGCUGGCGGCGUGCCUAAUACAUGCAAGUUGAGCGCUGAAGGUUGGUCCUUGUACCAACGGGAUGAGCAGCGAACGGGUGAGUAACGCGUGGGGAAUCUGCCUUUGAGCGGGGGACAACAUUUGGAAACGAAUGCUAAUACCGCAUAAAAACUUUAAACAAAAUUUUUAAGUUUGAAAGUUGCAAUUGCAUCAUUCAAAGAUGAUCCCGCGUUGUAUUAGUUAGUUGGUGAGGUAAAGGCUAACCAAGGCGAUGAUACAUAGCCGACCUGAGAGGGUGAUCGGCCACAUUGGGACUGAGACACGGCCCAAACUCCUACGGGAGGCAGCAGUAGGGAAUCUUCGGCAAUGGACGAAAGUCUGACCGAGCAACGCCGCGUGAGUGAAGAAGGUUUUCGGAUCGUAAAACUCUGUUGGUAGAGAAGAACGUUGGUGAGAGUGGAAAGCUCAUCAAGUGACGGUAACUUCCCAGAAAGGGACGGCUAACUACGUG
rnacentral:rRNA from 1 species